rnacentral:rRNA from 1 species
UACGUAGGGUGCAAGCGUUAUCCGGAAUUAUUGGGCGUAAAGAGCUCGUGAGCGGUUUGUCGCGUCUGCUGUGAAAACUGGAGGCUCAACCUCCAGCCUGCAGUGGGUACGGGCAGACUAGAGUGCGGUAGGGGAGAUUGGAAUUCCUGGUGUAGCGGUGGAAUGCGCAGAUAUCAGGAGGAACACCGAUGGCGAAGGCAGAUCUCUGGGCCGUAACUGACGCUGAGGAGCGAAAGCAUGGGGAGCGAACAGG